rnacentral:rRNA from 1 species
UACAGGGGGGGCAAGCGUUGUUCGGAAUUACUGGGCGUAAAGGGCUCGUAGGUGGCCAACUAAGUCAGACGUGAAAUCCCUCAGCUUAACUGGGGAACUGCGUCUGAUACUGGAUGGCUUGAGUUUGGGAGAGGGAUGCGGAAUUCCAGGUGUAGCGGUGAAAUGCGUAGAUAUCAGGAGGAACACCGGUGGCGAAGGCGGCCCUCUGGACGGAUACUGACGCUGAGGCGCGAAAGCGUGGGGAUCAAACAGG